UGGCGGCAGCGGUAGCGGCGGCGGGACGCGGAGGCUCCCCCGGGACUCGGCCUCAGCAGCGAGGCGGCGGCAGCGGCUGCGGAGGCGCAGGCAGCAGCUGAGGCAGCGGCGGGCUCAGGUGCAGCCGCUGAAAAUUAAAGUGAAAAUGCUGUUGGCAGUCUUUUGCUGUCUUGACUUCAACACAGUAGAGAAUGCUCUAAUGAAAAUGUGGCUGAGUUUUUAAUAUUCUGGGAUUUCAUGACCACCAGCACUUGUUGUGCAGCGAAGGUAAUUAAGAGUGAAGACAUAGUCCAGAAAGGGAGGUGUAAAGCCACAGGUAUGGGCUAACUGCUGGAUGAGUGUGCUCUGUGGUCAUCUCUUUAACCUUCUUGCAUGAGGCCUGUUGUGCAGAUUGGAAAACAUUGCAUUCAGAAAGGCUGAACAUAACUUCCUUUUUUCAAAAUUCCCUGUGUUGUGAACUGAGCUUGAGUGAAGUGAAAUCUUUGAGGUAAGGUGAUCCUAAUGAUAAAAAUGGAAAGAAGGCCUGCGCAAUUUGGGAGCCUUCAGAGAUAUAGUUUUAGAGUCACUGCCUAAAUAUUGAAAUGCCACCAUUUGUUGUUUGGAGGAUGGGAAGCUAAAUUGAGAACGGGAGCACCACAUCUGCCUUGACUGCUAAGUAUAUCCAUUUCUACUGCUCACCCAUAAUAGAAUUUUUAUGUGUGUGUUCAUUAAUCUUGGUUUUAGCAUCAGUUUAAAGGAGGACGGAGAACGAAGAGACUUAGUUUACAUUCCUCUGUCCUUCCCUUACGUGUUUGAGUGUUUGCUCCUAGUGGGCCCCACUUCUUUCUCAUUAUCAUCACUCUGGUGGUUUUUGUUUCUCUAGAAAGGUUGAACAACAGAAGAGACCUUGUUUCCUAGUAUUCUGUCAAAAGGCAGAAUAUUACUAUUCCAUUUUUAUUUUUGCUUUUUAAAUUUUCUGGUAAAAUAAGAUUCAGAGUAAAGUUUUGCCUCUCCCACCUAAUGAAGGUCACUGAAUCAGGAAUUUUUAAAAAGUCCUUCACUCUGAUGAGGAACCAUUAGGGAGCACAUUUGCUCUCAGCACACCAUCAAGAAGUCGGGGUUGGUCCAGUGCAGGUAGUAGUUAGUAUGUGAGGCCUUAAGUUUUUGGCGACCAGUUCUUCAGCCAGCUGGUCUCUGGCCUGCUUCUGACGGUCUGAACCAUUCCUUAUGCGACUAUGCUGAGGUUAGUUUGGACCCAGCACUGUGCUCAUUGCUGUCUUUGGCACAUGGCAACUAAAUUUAAACCAAGGCCAACAACCCAGUUUUCCUUUCCAAAAACAUUUUCAGACCACAUGAGGUGAGCUUUCUUUUUUUUUCCUUAGCAGUUUUCAUUUUUGGUUUUGGGGGUUUUUUGUUGUUUUUUUUUUUUGUUUUUUGCUUCAGGUAGUUUUAGGUUUUGGGGCCCCUCAAAACCUGAUUCGCAGAAAGGAGUUUGGAGGAUGUGAAACAAGUUUGUGUUUCUUCUGCUCUGUUAGCCACUGCUAUCUUCAUGGAUCUGACACUCUAUUUAUCUGACAGUGCACUUAGUACUGCUUCGCCAGGGAAAAUCACACAAACCCAGCCUGGCGCAUCAGCACUUUCAUUGUGUGCCGGGCUGAGCCUCCCUUCACAUGCUCACAUCCCCCUUUUAAUCUAGUACUCCCCUUCCCCUCCCCAGUCCUGCCUGUUUCUGUGGCACUUACUGCUGGUUUCCCUGAGCUCCUCUUUCCACUUUGUGUUUUUUGUGGGGCCCAGGAAGCUAAAGCUGUGUGUAUUUGUGGAUCAGACAAGUGCAGCAAGUUAAUAUCAUUGGCUUCUGAAGGGGAGAGUGAGGUGAUGGCUGCGUUUAAGUUGGAUUUCCUUCCAGAAAUGAUGGUGGAUCAUUGCUCUUUGAAUUCCAGUCCUGUGUAA